rnacentral:rRNA from 1 species
AACGAACGCUGGCGGCAGGCUUAACACAUGCAAGUCGAACGCCCCGCAAGGGGAGUGGCAGACGGGUGAGUAACGCGUGGGAAUCUACCCAUCCCUACGGAAUAACGCAUGGAAACGUGUGCUAAUACCGUAUACGCCCUACGGGGGAAAGAUUUAUCGGGGAUGGAUGAGCCCGCGUUGGAUUAGCUAGUUGGUGGAGUAAAGGCCUACCAAGGCGACGAUCCAUAGCUGGUCUGAGAGGAUGAUCAGCCACAUUGGGACUGAGACACGGCCCAAACUCCUACGGGAGGCAGCAGUGGGGAAUAUUGGACAAUGGGCGCAAGCCUGAUCCAGCCAUGCCGCGUGAGUGAUGAAGGCCUUAGGGUUGUAAAGCUCUUUCACCGGAGAAGAUAAUGACGGUAUCCGGAGAAGAAGCCCCGGCUAACUUCGUG